GCCUCCAUAGCUCAGGGGUGAGAGCACUGGUCUUGUAAACCAGGGGUCGAGAGUUCAAAUCUCUCUGGGGGCA